AACGAACGCUGGCGGCAUGCCUAACACAUGCAAGUCGAACGAGACCUUCGGGUCUAGUGGCACACGGGUGCGUAACGCGUGGGAACCUGCCCUUAGGUUCGGAAUAACUCCCCGAAAGGGGUGCUAAUACCGGAUAAUGUCUUCGGACCAAAGAUUUAUCGCCUUUGGAUGGGCCCGCGUUGGAUUAGCUAGUUGGUAGGGUAAAAGCCUACCAAGGCGACGAUCCAUAGCUGGUCUGAGAGGAUGAUCAGCCACACUGGGACUGAGACACGGCCCAGACUCCUACGGGAGGCAGCAGUGGGGAAUAUUGGACAAUGGGCGAAAGCCUGAUCCAGCAAUGCCGCGUGAGUGAUGAAGGCCUUAGGGUUGUAAAGCUCUUUUACCCGGGAUGAUAAUCACAGUACCGGGAGAAUAAGCUCCGGCUAACUCCGUG
rnacentral:rRNA from 1 species